CCCUGGCUCCCCACCUGCAGGGGAGUCGCUUCACAGGCGGUGAAGCAGGUCUGCAGGUGUCUAUCUUUCUCUCCCCCUCUCUAUGUCUUCCCCUCCUCUCUCCAUUUCUCUCUGUCCUAUCCAACAACAAAGCAACGUCAACAAUGGCAAUAAUAAUAACCGCAACGAGGCUGCAACAACUAGGGCAACAAAAAGGGGGAAAAAUGGCCUCCAGGAGCGGUGGAUUCAUGGUGCAGGCACCGAGCCCAGAAAUAACCCUGGAGGAAAAAAAAAAAAAGAUUCUGGACAUAGUGUCUUAGACAUUGAGGAGAUGAGCCAGUUGGAAUGCUUGGGGAGGGAGCUGAGGAUAGCUUACGAGCAGCAAGGAAGGAAAUGAAUGCAGUCCAAGGAGCAGAUUCUGGCAGACUGGAUUAUUGUUUCCAGUUCUUCACUUAUGCAUCCAUGUGCAUUGUCACUGGAUUUUGGAGUAUCUCCUGUUAAGAGUAGGUAACGUCUGUCUCCCUACUAUACUGAGUGUCAUGUGACUUUGAUCACUUUGCUUUGAUUAGAAACGAUAUGCCACACCUGAGCAGUUUUCAGAGCACCUGCACACUGAGCCACUGUUCUGUUUCUGCCAGGAGGUUGAAACGAGUUGCUCCUUCAGCCUGAACUCUGGAAUAAGGAGAACACACUGGCCAGACAUGUAACUCGAAUGAGGAAUCAACAGGGCCUGGGUCAGCUGCUGCAGUUCCGGCAGCCCUGGAUCCUGUCUCUGACGUCGGGCUGGAUGGCGGUGUAUGUGAGCUAUGUGACUGCUCGCUCAGAUAGGCUUCGAGGAAGCUCUCAGAGGCAUGUUUGUGCUUAAGAGCCUCCUGAUCUGCCUGGUCAGCUGUCAGAGCUGGAGUUGUUGGCAAGACUUCAGCCAUUCAUAUCUAAUCCUGGGUGCUGAUUAAUGGAAGCGGGUUCACCUUUAUUGUCCUUCUGAGACUGCCUGUCUCCCCAGCAAGCAGGGUUCAGAGAUCUGUGACCAUUUAUGGGCAAAACCAGGACCCUGCUGUGCUCACUUGGACCGACUUGAGCCCUCAUCUGGUCAUCUGGAAAAAUGCCUCAAGGUUUCCUCUGCUGAAAGAAGAGUCUAGGAUGCAUGUUUCUAUCCAAAGGUCAAUCCUUGUCCUUCCCAUUUGCCUCUGGAAUUAGAACCUCCAUCUGGAGACCAGAGGAUGCUGGCCGCCUGGGUGAGCCCUGUCCCAUCAGUGUCCUAGGAAAUGUGACCACAGCUUAGUGUCCUGCGUCUGUGUCCCUCCCUCACCUUGUUGUUGGUAUAAACUCCUUUACAGUCACAGUAUCUAUAGAGUGUGAGUUUUCUUCCCCUCCCCACGAAGCUCCAUACAAUAUGCCCCAGGUUUCACUGACUAAGACAGAUUCCUGUGGCCCUAGCCUUUUAGGAUGGAUGGCUACAGCAGGGAGCCACCUCAUAGACUUAGAAUCACUCUUCUCUCUUCACCCUAAACUCUGUGCAAAGGCUGAUCACCUUGUUUUUAUGUCGAGGAUCUUGGCUGCCUCUCAGUGGGUUUGGUUCAUUGUGGUCUAGCCUGACUGUAUUUUAUUCUGUUUCACAUUUCUGAAUAAAAUGGAAGCAAGCAGGGUGUGUAACAUGUA